UGUCUUUCCGACUUGAUUUACGGCUCCUCCACCUUCAGUCUUCUUCGCCAAACUCUACAAGGGCCCCUCUAGAGUUUGAACCUUCUUCCCAGGGUCCCUUGCAACUCUUUCCCAGUCUCCUUUGCCAGCUUGUCCAACCUUCUUUCCAUUUGCUUAUAGUCCAGACCAAGUUCCCCGGGUGCACCGCGCGCUGCACGGGGCGCGUAAGUGGGGAAGUGAGGAAGGGGUGGAGGGGUGGAGGGGUGGGGGCGGCUCUCCCCCGGGUGGUUCCGCCCGGGGAUUGUAGAGCGUAGGACCGCUCAGAUUCGGAUUGGAGCUCUUGGGGAGGCUGUUGAAUUUGUCCUGAGUUUCCUACUAGAGAUGCUGAAUGGCUAGGCCUGUCUAAUUGGUUAGUGCCGUCCGGAAGGGCUCGGGGAUCUGGGCUUCUCGACAGUUUGGUUAGGAGGACCGUGACUCACGAAUCACGUGCGCCAGGACCCAGGGUGGAAGGCUGCACACGGAUCUUGUGGAGUUCCCUGCGCAGCUCGAGACAUUGUAAAUGCGGUUUGUUGACAGGAGUGUCAGUAUCCGAAUGGAGUUAGAAGAAGUAGGUGGAAGUUGGGAAGGAAUAGUGGAUUUAAAGGGAAUUUUUGACAUUUAGUUUAGCAAUGUAUUCAGCCUUUCUAGAUCUUAAAAAAAAAUUGAGGCACGAUUCAUUACAUAUGCGCUUAAAGUGUACAAUUCUGUAGUUUUUAGUAUAUGCUCAAGGUAGUGCAACCAUCACCGAAUUCUUAUUACAGAACAUUCUCAUCACUCAAAAAGAACCUAGAAGCUAGUUAGCAGAGACGUACCUGAGAUUACAGGCAUGCAUCACUGUGUCUGACUUGAUUUCGCAUCACCCUUCUACAGUUCUUGUCUAUGAAAUUACCAGCCAUGUAUACACAUAUACACAUAUAUGUAUGUGUGUAUAUAUAUAUAUAUGUGUGUGUGUGUAUAUAUAUAUGGAAUCAUACAAGAUUUGUCUUUUCCUGUAUGGUUUAUUUCAUGUAGCAUAUUUUCAAUACUUUUUGUAUUUUGCAUGUAUCAGGACUUCAUUCUUUUUUUAUGAACUAAUAAUCAGUUGUAUGGAUAUACCACAUUUUGUUUCUCCCUUAGCUGAUGGACAUUGGUGGUUUCAUAGACUUUUAAGGUCUUUAAUUCCCCCACAGAACUAGCAUUCGCAGGCACAAACAUUUUAAGCUUAAGUUCUCAAAAACCAUCGUUUGACUCUGGUUUUGGGUCAGGCAUUUCAGUGGCCACAGGUUUGUGUCUUUUAGAGCAGUUUGUUUUUUUUAAAAGCCUUAUAUUCCCAGUUCAUCACCUAUCAGACUAUUAAUAAUAUUGAUAACAAGUGGAGAUGUAUUUGUGGCAUGUCUUAUGAAGGUGGCAGAAACUGUCAGAAACUGCUGUUGUGUAAUGUAUGCUGAAACCUGUUAUCCCAGGUAUGUUAUCCCAUGGCUAAUUUCUGACUACACCCAGUAUUAUAUAUGCAAUGUAAGCUUCAUGGCACUUUCACAUCCAAUAUAAACUGGUGUAGUUAAGAGAUGAGCAUAUGAAAAGCCUAAUUCACCUAGCAAUGGGAGAGAUUUUACUAAAAAUAACUAGUCAGUCUUCAUCACUCAUGGAUUCUGUAUUUGUGAAUUUAUCUACUUCUUUACAUUUAUUUGUAAUCCUCAAUCAGUAGUACUCUUGAUGCUUUCCUAAAGUGUGCAGAGUUGUUAAAAAUCUGAGUUGACUAAUGCACAUAUUCUCAGCUGAGGUCAAACAAGAUGAAGCUUUCCUAAGUGUCCUUUGGUGGUAUACUUAGUAACCUGUUUGUUGGAUUUUUGUGCCCCCACUUUUUUUUUUGCACCAGGGAUUGAACCCAGGGGCACUUUACACUGAGCCACAUUCCCAGCCCUUUUUUUGUAUUUUAUUUAGAGACAGGUCCUUGCUAAGUUGCUGAGGCUGGCUUUGAACUCACGAUCCUCCUGCCUCAGCCUCCUGAGUUGCUAGGAUUACAGAUGUGUGCCACCGAGCCCAGCUUGGUUUCACAUUUUUAAAAUGGUUUCCAAGCAUAGUGCUGGAGUGCUGUCUAGCAUUCUUAAGUGCAAGAAGGCCGUGAUGUGCUUUACAGGGAAAAGAUAAGUUUCUUUCAGACAAAUUUAUCAGGCAUGGGUUGUAUUGGUAUUGACUGUGAGUUCAGUAUUAAUGAUAUAUAUUAAAUAAGGUGUCUUUAAACAGAAACACCUAAAGCAGUUAUUUAUUGACAUGUUGAACAACUCUAUUUUUCCUUGGAGAAUUGGUUUAGUAUUUACUAAUUUAGUGUUCAUGGUGGCUGUUUAGAACAUAAGUACUGUGAAUAAUGAGAAUUGACAGAAUAACCAGUUUAAUUAUUGAUGAGCAGAAAAUCUAGUGUUGGUAUUUUUAAGUUUCUAUAACUUUAACUGUUUUUUCUAUUCAAGGCAUUCAUUUUUAAUUCUGUUUAAGUAGUGUUGGAGAGAAGCUAAAAUAGAAUGCUUUUCCUUCUGUGUGUGGGGUGUGGUGAUUGUGCUAAUUGUUGGGGAUUCAGUGAUUAGUGUAUGACCCCUCUGUUCUUAAAUGGGUGAGUGUGCUAGUACAGCAAAGAUGUAAUUAUAGUGUGGUAUAUGCUUUGAAAUACAUCUAAAAUGCUAUGGAAACAUAGUAUUAAUUCUCUUUAGAGUGUGCUGAGAUGCAUAAGCCUUCAAGCAAGAAAUGACCUUUGAGGACCUUUGAGAUUUCUUUCUUUUAACUUAAAAAAAUUUCUGUUCUGUUGCAGUAUGAGCAUACAUUACAAUGUUACAACAGUAUGAACAUACAUUAAAAUAUAAGAAAGAAACUCAAUGUCCCAUUCUUCUCAUCAAGGUGCUCUUGGUCUUCACAAUCAGAAUCCCAUUAAUCUCUGAGUCUCAACAAUUCUACCUCCUUUAAUACAGAACUAGAGUCUAUCUUUUACGUUUCACGUACAAAUGUUGUAAUUAAGCCUUUCUCAUUCCCUCUCUGGGUUGUUAUAACGUAGACUCCUAACUGAUCUCUCCCUUGGCUAUUCAUUGUUGGUUAUUCACUGUUAACAAAGGGCUUUCUAAGUUUUAAGUAUAAUCUUGUUAUUCUUACCUUAAAAUUUUCCAUUACUCUCUCAUGGCUGACAAAAUAAAGUUUUUUUUUAUGGUGGCUCCUAUUACCCUUCAAGAUCAGGCCUUUCUUUGUCUUUAAUAAAGAUGAGAAGAGGUAAUAUAAAAGAGGAAAAUUUCUUUUGGUAACAUGCCUUGUUCCCUUUUACUUCUUCCUUCCUCUUUCCAUAAUUAAUUAGAAAUGCUUUUAAGUUAUAAGGAAAUGGGCAAGAAUAAAAGCACAUUUUUUUCCCAGUCUUGUUUACUUUUUUUUUUCUUUUGGUGCUGGGGAAUAGAAUCCAGGGCCCUGUGCAUACUAGUUGUUUACCUUUUUAAUAUCUUGAAUUCAUUCGUUUCUUGAUCACAGCCACUUUCUUGUCCAGGCUCUUUUCCUCCUAUGACAAGUUUUUUUUGGGGGGGGGGGCAUUUUUAUUUCUUUUGGGAAAAUAUCUAUUAAAAUUCUUGGGUCAUAUGGCAGAUGUAAGUAUAAGAAAGUAUCUCGAUGAUCUGAGGCUUGGUGGUAUGAAAAGGUAUCUUAGGGCUUAAAGUAGUAAUCACUAAAAAAACCAAACCAACCAACCCUGAUUAUGUCAAAAUUUAAAACUUUUCAUCACAGACAACUCUAAGAAAAUGAAUAGGUAAACAGACACCAAUCUGAGAAAGGACUUAUACCUGAGAUAUAUUAAGAACCAGUGGGAUUCAAGGCCUGUGAAGAAUCUGCUGCUUGACCCUCUGGGACUGUGGCUGGUUUUUUGGAGUCCUCCUUUUUCAUGAAGGAUAGUAUGUGUUAGCAGGUAGAAUGGUUUUAUUAGCCUAUUUGCUGUCAGCAGUGUAUGAAAGUUCCAGUUGCUUCACAUCCCUUGCUAACUUUUCGUGUUGUAAUUCUUUUUCUAUUUUUAGUCAUUCUGAUGAAUGUAGAGUGGGAUGUCAUUAAAUGGUUUUAAUUUUAGUCCUUGAUUAUUAAUGAUGUCCAGCACUUUUUUCCUGUUACUGACAUUGCUUCCUUUGUUAUUGACAUAUCUUCCUUUGUGAAGUGCCUACUUAAAUCUUUUUUAAAAAUAUUAUUAUUAUUAUUGUAGUUGGACACAGUACACUUAUUUUAUUUAUUUAUUUUUAUGUGAUGCUGAGGAUGAAACCCAGGGCCUUGCAUGUGUGAGGCAAGCACUCUACCGCUGAGACACAAUCCCAGCCCCUAAAUCUUUUGCUCACUUUGAAAUUGGUUGUCUUUUUUUUUUUAACUGUGUCAUUAGAAUUCUUUAUAUGUCUUUCUUAUCCUGAUAUCAGUCCUUUGUUAGUAGUUAUCUACCCAUUUUCUUAGAUAAACAGAAGUUUUACAUUUUGAUGUAGUCAAUUUAUUAUUUUCUUUUUUCUUCUGGGUGCUAGGGAUGAACCCAGGGCCUCAUGCAUGCUAUGCACAAACUCUGCUACCAAGCUAUCCUGCAACCUGCUUUUCUUUUAUAGUUACUGCUUUUUGUUUUCUAAGAAAUCUUGACCACUUUCAGUUUGUGAAUAUAUUCUUUUAAAAUUAUAGUUUUAGCUUUUAUGUUUAGAUAUAUGAGCCAUCAGUAGGUUUUGUGAAUAUUAUGGGGUAUGACAACGUUAAAAUUUUUCUUUACAGAUGUUUAGUUAUUCUAGCAGCACUUAUCAAAAAUGCUGUUAUACUGCAUUUUUGAAAUUAAGAUGACUGUUUAAAUAGUGCUUAAUUUCUGGGCUCUCUUUUAUCCUAUUGGUUAAUCCUUAUGUCAGUACCAUAUGAAAUUUAUACCGCACUGCUCUGUUGACAUGUCAUCCAUGUCCUUCCCCCCCUCGCCCAGUCCUGGGAAUUGAACUUAAGCCCUCUACCACUGAGCUACAUCUUCAGCAUGUCUAAUUAUUUCCUGAUUGAGUGAUUGAGUGAUUAGAUUGGUAGAGCUAUGAAUUAGAUUGAUGUCUAAGUGAUGUGACCUUUCAGAGAAUCCACCCGGAAGCACAUGAUAUGACUAUUAUUAGUUACAUUAAGUUUGAAUACUUAAUUGAGGUGAUAUCUGCCAGAUUUCUCCAUUGUAAAAAAGAGUCUUUUACCCCCCUCCUUCUUUACCUGCAAGAACAGUAGUUUAUUUGAAGAUGACACCAGCACACUCUUUUAUUUAUUUAUUUAUUUAAGUUUUCGGCGGACACAACAUCUUUGUUUGUAUGUGGUGCUGAGGAUCGAACCCGGGCCGCACGCAUGCCAGGCGAGCACGCUACCGCUUGAGCCACAUCCCCAGCCCAACACCAGCACACUGUUGAUAGAGGAAAGGGGACAUAAGAUAGGAACAGAAAGACAGUCAGCAAAAGAUAAGGUAUCAAUCCAGUUCUAACCACACCCAAUUCCACUGGGGAACUUUGGAGCUAACAUAGGGGUCCUGGCUCAAUAUCCUACAGAAAGGAUAAUAAACUUAGGGUAUUUGAACACCAGCACCUGUCAGUCAUAGUUUGAGGGUUGCUGACAAGGGGAAUCAACUUUCAGGCACUUCUAAGUUGCCAUGAACAUGGGGGAAAUAUAGGCUGUGGAUGCCAAGGAAAACUCUCAGUUAAAGAGAUGCAGAUGUUGGCAUUUAGAAGUCAGGCCAGAGUGGUAAGAGCUGAAGGGACAGUUUGAGUGUCUAUAGUGUCUGCUGUGAUAACCUAGAACCUCGAGCUUGAGGCAAAAAUUUAUGUGCUCUUAUUUUGUCAGGAAGCAGAGGUGGCGGGAAAGGAGAGUGAAGAGAGAAGCAAGUUUAAGUCAACUCAAGGGUGCAUUUCCAAGUUGGCCACCCCUUGGUAACAAGUACAACUGAUUGCUUGACCUCCUAAAGCUGUCUCCCAGGAGGAUGUAUAAAGUACUGCAUCCAGGACAAUACACCAAGAGAAUUUACCCCUCAGCUUCUGUAUGUCAUUGGAGAAAGAUUUGUCUCAUGCUACAUUAACUCCCUGGAGCAUCCAAAUUGUGUGUAGGUGGGUAUCAGGUGGGAUCUCAUAGGCUCCCUCAAAGGCAAGAGGGAAGCCAAAGGUGGGAAGUGAGAGGCAUCCAGCACGAAGGAAGUAAAAGAUUGCAGGAUUGUGCCUGUGUACUGGAGGUUAGACCUACAUAUAUUUUGUUAGUCCAUGACACCUGGGGUGAAGAACAUGACAAUAGCCUCAAAAUUGGCAAGGCCAAAGAAGAUUUGAGAUGUUACAUAAAAAAUGUCUGAUGUAUUUAGAUUCCAUUUGUAUUUAACAAAUAUGUACCCACAUACAAUACCCAGUCACAUGUAAAAGAAAAUAACAGCUAUCCCAUGGUGGUGGGAUCCCUUGGAAUUUGACUUUCUCCCAUAGUUAUCGAUAAGUUUUUAAACCUUUUUACAGUAAAGAUAUUUUAAUUUUAUAAUGAGAAUGGUUAUGGACAAUUGUAGGAAGGAAGGCAAAACAAAAUUUUUUUCGAAGUAAAAGAAGUUAGCAAAAAAAGAAAAGAUACCAUGUUUACUUUAUGGUAGGGAUAAGAUUGUAUUUUUCUUCAAGAAAAG
rnacentral:lncRNA from 1 species